AUUGAACGCUGGCGGCAUGCCUUACACAUGCAAGUCGAACGGCAGCACGGGAGCAAUCCUGGUGGCGAGUGGCGAACGGGUGAGUAAUAUAUCGGAACGUGCCCAGUCGUGGGGAUAACGUAGCGAAAGCUACGCUAAUACCGCAUACGAUCUACGGAUGAAAGCGGGGGGAUCGCAAGACCUCGCGCGAUUGGAGCGGCCGAUAUCAGAUUAGGUAGUUGGUGAGGUAAAGGCUCACCAAGCCGACGAUCUGUAGCUGGUCUGAGAGGACGACCAGCCACACUGGGACUGAGACACGGCCCCAGACUCCGUACGGGAGCAGCAGUGGGGAAUUUUGGACAAUGGGCGCAAGCCUGAUCCAGCAAUGCCGCGUGC
rnacentral:rRNA from 1 species